rnacentral:rRNA from 1 species
GACGAACGCUGGCGGCGUGCUUAACACAUGCAAGUCGAACGGAAAGGCCCCUUUGGGGGUACUCGAGUGGCGAACGGGUGAGUAACACGUGAGUAACCUGCCCUUGACUUCGGGAUAACUUCAGGAAACUGGGGCUAAUACCGGAUAGGAAUCCUUGCUGCAUGGUGGGGGUUGGAAAGCUUCGGCGGUUUUGGAUGGACUCGCGGCUUAUCAGCUUGUUGGUGGGGUAGUGGCUUACCAAGGCUUUGACGGGUAGCCGGCCUGAGAGGGCGACCGGCCACAUUGGGACUGAGAUACGGCCCAGACUCCUACGGGAGGCAGCAGUGGGGAAUAUUGCACAAUGGGCGGAAGCCUGAUGCAGCAACGCCGCGUGCGGGAUGACGGCCUUCGGGUUGUAAACCGCUUUCAGCAGGGGCGAAGCUUUUGUGACGGUACCUGCAGAAGAAGCACCGGCUAACUACGUGCCAGCCGCCGCCGUAACAC